AGCAGCCGCGGUAAUUCCAGCUCCAAUAGCGUAUAUUAAAGUUGUUGCAGUUAAAAAGCUCGUAGUUGAAUUUCGAGACCGGCUUACUGGUCGUGCUUUUGUACGUACUGGUAUAAUCGGUUUCUCCUUUCUGACGAACUAUAAUGCCAUUAAUUUGGUGUUAUAGGGAAUCAGGACUGUUACUUUGAAAAAUUAGAGUGUUUAAAGCAGGCUCACGCUUGAAUACAUUAGCAUGGAAUAACGGAAUAGGACGUUUGAUUCUAUUUUGUUGGUUUCUAGGAUCGACGUAAUGAUUAAUAGGGAUAGUUGGGGGCAUUAGUAUUCAAUUGUCAGAGGUGAAAUUCUUGGAUUUAUUGAAGACUAACUACUGCGAAAGCAUUUGCCAAGGAUGUUUUCAUUAAUCAAGAACGAAAGUUAGGGGAUCGAAGACGAUCAGAUACCGUCGUAGUC
rnacentral:rRNA from 2 species